AAAAGUGCGGUGACGGAGAAUAGUAUAAAAGUAAUGUUUUACAGAGAAUAAGGUAAUGGUGAGAGCCUUGUAGACUAGCUUUUUGAACCCACUCUAGAGCAGGUGAUGACUAAGUCACUACGGGGAUAAUCACGUUAAGAUUAUACUAAGAGAGUCAAUUUCACGAUUGGCUAAUUAGGGUGGUAACGCGGGUAAGCACUCGUCCCUUUC
rnacentral:ncRNA from 1 species